ACAUAUUACCCGCCAGGGACUACAAGCACUAGCUUAAAACCCAAAGGACUUGGCGGUGCUCAAACCCAUCUAGAGGAGCCUGUUCUAUAACUGAUAAUCCUCGUUAAACCUCACCACUUCUUGUUAAUUCCGCCUAUAUACCGCCGUCGCCAGCUCACCUUGUGAAAGACUAAUAGUGAGCUUAAUGGGAAUAUCCCAGAACGUCAGGUCGAGGUGUAGCGAAUGAAGUGGGAAGAAAUGGGCUACAUUUUCUGGUCUCAGAAUAUUACGAAAGAUGUUAUGAAAUAUAACAUAAAGAAGGAGGAUUUAGCAGUAAAGAGAAAA
rnacentral:rRNA from 1 species